rnacentral:tRNA from 1 species
GGGUAUGUAGCUCAGUGGUGGAGCGCUUACUUAGCAUGCACCAGGCCCUGGGUUUGAUCCACAGCACUGUCCC